GAUGAACGCUAGCGGCAGGCCUAAUACAUGCAAGUCGAACGGGCUUAUGUUUUUCGGAAUAUGAGUUAGUGGCGCACGGGUGAGUAACACGUACAUAACCUACCUUCAAGAGGGGGAUAGCCUUGGGAAACUGAGAGUAAUACCCCAUAGUAUCAAGUUGCGGCAUCGUGAGUUGAUUAAAGCUGAGGUGCUUGAAGAUGGAUGUGCGUCUGAUUAGCUAGUUGGUGAGGUAACGGCGUCACCAAGGCGACGAUCAGUAGCUGGUCUGAGAGGAUGAUCAGCCACACCGGAACUGAGACACGGUCCGGACUCCUACGGGAGGCAGCAGUGGGGAAUAUUGCGCAAUGGGCGAAAGCCUGACGCAGCCAUACCGCGUGUGUGAAGAAGGCCU
rnacentral:rRNA from 1 species